UACCAGCACCCCGAGUGGUCGGGACGAUUAUUGGGCCUAAAGCAUCCGUAGCCGGUCAUGCAAGUCUUCCGUUAAAUCCAGCCGCUCAACGGUUGGGCUGCGGAGGAUACUACGUGGCUAGGAGGCGGGAGAGGCAAGCGGUACUCAGUGGGUAGGGGUAAAAUCCUUUGAUCCAUUGAAGACCACCAGUGGCGAAGGCGGCUGCCAGAACGCGCUCGACGGUGAGGGAUGAAAGCUGGGGGA
rnacentral:rRNA from 1 species